AUUGAACGCUGGCGGAAUGCUUUACACAUGCAAGUCGAACGGCAGCACGGGGCAACCUGGUGGCGAGUGGCGAACGGGUGAGUAAUACAUCGGAACGUGCCCAAUCGUAGGGGAUAACGUAGCGAAGUUACGCUAAUACCGCAUACGAUCUACGGAUGAAAGCGGGGAUCGCAAGACCUCGCGCGAGUGGAGCGGCCGAUGUCAGAUUAGGUAGUUGGUGGGGUAAAGGCUCACCAAGCCAACGAUCUGUAGCUGGUCUGAGAGGACGACCAGCCACACUGGAACUGAGACACGGUCCGGACUCCUACGGGAGGCAGCAGUGGGGAAUUUUGGACAAUGGGCGCAAGCCUGAUCCAGCCAUUCCGCGUGCAGGAUGAAGGCCUCGGUUGUAAACGUG
rnacentral:rRNA from 1 species